AACGUAGGAGGCGAGCGUUAUCCGGAUUUACUGGGCGUAAAGCGCGUGUAGGCGGUACAGAAAGUUGGAUGUGAAAGCUCCUGGCUUAACUGGGAGAGGUCGUUCAAAACUACUGAACUAGAGUAUGGGAGAGGGAGGUGGAAUUCCGGGUGUAGUGGUGAAAUGCGUAGAUAUCCGGAGGAACACCAGUGGCGAAGGCGGCCUCCUGGCCCAAAACUGACGCUCAGACGCGAAAGCUAGGGUAGCAAACGGG
rnacentral:rRNA from 1 species